AUUGAACGCUGGCGGCAGGCCUAACACAUGCAAGUCGAGCGGAUGAACGGAGCUUGCUCCUGGAUUCAGCGGCGGACGGGUGAGUAAUGCCUAGGAAUCUGCCUGGCAGUGGGGGAUAACAUCCGGACACGAGCGCUAAUACAACAUACGUCCUGAGGGAGAAAGGGGGGGAUCUUCGGACAUCACGCUAUCAGAUGAGCCUAGGGCGGAUUAGCUAGCUGGUGGGGUAAAGGCGUACCAAGGCGACGAUCCGUAACUAGUCUGAGAGGAUGAGCAGUCACACGAGAGCGGACACACGGUCGAGUCUUCUGCGAGGGGCCGGAGUGGGAAAUAUUGCAAAAGGGGAGAACGUCUCAUACAGCCAGGCCGCGUGUGUGAAGAAGGUCUUGGGAGUGUAAAGCUCUUUAGGUUGGGAGAAAGGGCUGUAAGUUAAUGCCUUGCUGUUGACGCUUUACCAUCAGAAAGCGCCGGCUAAAUCCGCG
rnacentral:rRNA from 1 species